CGCGGGAUGGAGCAGUUCGGUAGCUCGUCGGGCUCAUAACCCGAAGGUCGGUUGUUCAAAUCCGCCUCCCGCAA
rnacentral:tRNA from 1 species